rnacentral:snRNA from 1 species
GUGCUCGAGUGGGCAGCACAUAAGCUAAAAUUGGAACCAUACACAGGAGAUUAGUACAGCCGCUGAGUAAGGAUGACAUGCAAAUUUAUGAAGUGUUCCAAAUUUAA